rnacentral:misc_RNA from 1 species
CACGAAGGGUCCGAGCGUUGCGCGGAAUCACUGGGCUUAAAGCGUGCGUAGGCGGGAGCGUAAGUGUCUUGUGAAAUCCCACUGCUCAACAGUGGAACUGCAGGGCAUACUGCGUUUCUUGAGGCCGGCAGAGGGUGUCGGAACUGUAGGUGUAGCGGUGAAAUGCGUAGAUAUCUACAGGAACGCCAAUGGUGAAGACAGACACCUGGGCCGGAACUGACGCUGAGGCACGAAAGCGUGGGUAGCGAACAGG